rnacentral:tRNA from 1 species
GGGGUUGUAGCUCAGUAGCAGAGCACUUGCUUAGCAUGUAUGAGGCACUGGGUUCAAUCCUCAGCACCA